rnacentral:rRNA from 1 species
CCCUUAGAUGUUCUGGGCCGCACGCGUGCUACACUGAGUGGAUCAGCGGGUCAGGUUGCGCGAAAGUGUUUCCUAAUCUUUAAAUCCACUCGUGAUGGGGAUUGACGGUUGCAAUUUUCCGUCAUGAACGAGGAAUACCUUGUAAGCGCGGGUCAUCAUCCCGCGCUGAAUACGUCCCUGCCCUUUGUACACACCGCCCGUCGCUCCUACCGAUUGAGUGGUCCGGUGAGGCUUUGGGAUCUGAGCGGAAAGAGCGUUUCGCUGUUUCUGCCCGGAAAACUCAGUCGAACCUUAUCAUUUAGAGGAAGGAGAAGUCGUAACA